rnacentral:rRNA from 1 species
UACGAAGGGGGCUAGCGUUGCUCGGAAUCACUGGGCGUAAAGCGCACGUAGGCGGAUCUUUAAGUCAGGGGUGAAAUCCCAAGGCUCAACCUUGGAACUGCCUUUGAUACUGGGGAUCUCGAGUCCGGAAGAGGUGAGUGGAACUGCGAGUGUAGAGGUGAAAUUCGUAGAUAUUCGCAAGAACACCAGUGGCGAAGGCGGCUCACUGGUCCGGUACUGACGCUGAGGCGCGAAAGCGUGGGGAGCAAACAGG